AGCUUAUCUAGAGAAGUGGAGGGACUGGCCCAUUGAAACUUCGGCAACAUGGUAAUGCGUGUGCCAAUUCCAGUAGCAUAAAGUGUGCUAGAAGAUAAGAU
rfam:Staphylococcus cohnii subsp. cohnii strain 073AN genome assembly, contig: ERS576551SCcontig000001